UCCUCCCUCUGUCGGCGUGCUUAACACAUGCAAGUCGAACGGAAAGGCCCUGCUUUUGUGGGGUGCUCGAGUGGCGAACGGGUGAGUAACACGUGAGUAACCUGCCCUUGACUUUGGGAUAACUUCAGGAAACUGGGGCUAAUACCGGAUAGGAGCUCCUGCUGCAUGGUGGGGGUAGGAAAGUUUCGGCGGUUGGGGAUGGACUCGCGGCUUAUCAGCUUGUUGGUGGGGUAGUGGCUUACCAAGGCUUUGACGGGUAGGCGGCCUGAGAGGGUGACCGGCCACAUUGGGACUGAGGUACGGCCCAGACUCCUACGGGAGGCAGCAGUGGGGAAUAUUGCACAAUGGGCGGAAGCCUGAUGCAGCAACGCCGCGUGCGGGAUGACGGCCUACGGGUUGUAAACCGCUUUCGCCUGUGACGAAGCGUGAGUGACGGUAAUGGGUAAAGAAGCACCGGCUAACUACGUG
rnacentral:rRNA from 1 species